GUGUUUUCAAUGGUAAAUCAGAGGAAAGGUCCAAUUAUAAUUUGAGGGUUGGGUUUACAUGUAAUUUUAGCGAAUGAAUAUAAAAAUGGCGGGUAGUGAACGGCACGUGGUUGAUGGCAUUAAUAAUCUGUCAACAUUUUUACUAACGCAUCAAACUCAACUCGAGCUGUCUGGUGUUCCAAGACAUUUUUGGAAAACCUUAUAUGACAAACUUUGUAAGGGAAUCAUGGAUGCUGGGGAAACUUUCAGCAUGAUCAAGCUUGAGUAUAGUGAUGAUGAAUCUGAAGAAGUGAAUUCUAACAACAGUGAAGAAGAGAACAAGCAUGACAGUGAUAACUCCAACACGAAAAAUGAAAAUACUGACAGAUGUCAUCUCCCUCUAUGGAAAGUUAUUGUAAUUAGAAAAGAAGGUGUUGAUCCACAGGAUCCACAACACAUCUACUUGAUUGAUCAUGCCUGGACAUACAGUAUCAGUGUGGCUCAUCAGCAUUUAGCAGAAAUUCCUGGGCUGUUGGAAAGAAUGCUUGCUAUGAUGGAGAUUGAUACUGAAGAAAAAUCUCGAGAAGAAAUGAUCACCAGUGUUUUGAGUAACAUGUGGAGGUACAACCAGUCAUAUAGCUUUGGAGGGACAAACAUUGAAGCUGAGAGUGCUUCUCCUUUGUGGUAUGUAAUGGAUGAAUUUGGAUCUCGUAUCCAGCACUCUGACAAUCCUAACUUUCGUACUGUACCUUUUUAUGAUGUUCCAGCACAGACUUCUUUUACGCUUCUCUUUCCGAUAAAGCAAGUGGAAUAUCAAGGGGAAGUGACUCGAGACUAUAUUGAAGGAUUAGCCACUGAUGCUUUGAGCCGCAAAGCCCUGAGAAUUCCAUGGGAACCAUGUGAUAUGAGUGAUGUAAACUGGAAUUGGUAUGAACAAAGUGAAAAUUUUUUACAGAGUGGUCGAGUGAAAGAGACUACUCCUGACCUAACCCAGGACUUUCCAGGUAUUCCAACAGAAAGAAAACUAAAAGUAUAUGCUGAGUAUAGUGUCAUAAGGGAAAAUUUACACCAUCCAGCAUUUGAAAUAGUACAUGAUGAAAAUGAAGCUGAUAUUCUGUGGUAUAAUUUUCAUUUCAAAGAAUACAGAGAUUUGAGCAUUAGUAGCCCUCACAAGAUGAUCAAUCAAUUUCCAUUUGAGCACAUCCUCACUGUGAAAGAUCUACUUGCCAUCACAUGCAGAAGGGCAGCACCAGUGAAUAACACUGUUGACUCAAACACUCUGAAGACAUGGCCUAAAUGGUUGCCAACAACUUAUAAUUUAAAGACUGAAGUGCCCCAGUUUGUUUCUUACUACCAGCAAAGAGCUGUAAGGAAACUUGACAAUCAUUGGAUUUGCAAACCUUGGAAUUUAGCUCGUAGCUUAGACACUCAUGUUACAUCAGAUUUGAACUUCAUUCUCAGACUCCCUUCAUCAGGACCAAAGAUAGCUUGCAAGUAUAUAUCCAAUCCUGUGCUCUUUCCGAGAGAUGAAAUUGGCAUGGUGAAGUUUGAUUUUAGGUAUCUUAUUCUUUUGCAAAGUGCUCAUCCUUUAAGACUAUAUGUCUACAAACAUUUUUGGUUGAGGUUUGCAAACAAGCCCUUUUCCCUGGAUAAUUUUGAUGAUUACGAAAAACAUUUUACAGUGAUGAACUAUACCAACACAACCCUGAAAUGUAUUGCCAUGACUUUAUUGAGCAGUUUGAGGCAUAUUAUCCUUCGUUCAAGUGGAAGGAUAUUGAGAAAGAUGUGUUUGGAAUUUUAAAGUCAGUGAUGGAAGCAGCUACAAGCAAGCCACCACCAGUAGGUCUUUGUUCAAAUCCUCAAUCUCGAGCUAUGUAUGCUGUGGACAUGAUGCUGGAAUGGGACCAUAGUAACCCAGAUAAGCCACAUAUACAACCUAUGCUCUUGGAAGUUAACUGGGCUCCAGAUUGUCAGAGAGCCUGCCAGUAUUACCCAGAGUUCUUUGAUGAUAUAUUUUCUGUUCUUUUUUUGAACAGUAUUGAAAAUCG
rnacentral:misc_RNA from 1 species